GGCACGUAGCAGGUUGAAAGGAUUUGCGGGCUACAAAAUCUCGGACAACAUGUCGGACGCAAAAGUGAACGUGGAUUCUGACAUUUCAAAGGCGAAAUACGCCGAGCAGAACAGAAUUAAUACGUACAAGAUAUUAGCAAAAUAUAGGAAACGAAACAUGUUGAUGUUUAGCGGGUUAUUGGCUUCUGUUUGCGGAAUUUAUGCAUACUCUAUGUUUGCUGUGAGACAAGAAGAUUUUUCAGACUUUGAGAAAUGAGAUUUGUUGAGUUUCAUGUGGUUAAACAACAAAAGUGCAAAGCCAAAUUUUCUAAGAUAUGUUAUAGACCUGAAAACUUCACAUCAUGACAGAACUGCAAGCUGUAAAUAGCAGUUGCAACCAAGUUAUGCUACAUAAACUCUUGGUAUCUUAAGUAUAUUUUGUACUCAUCUGUGACAUAGACAGUGUUAAACAAAAUGUAGCUAAAACAAAUAUUUGGCAAAAGAAAACAUCUUACAAUAUUACAAUCUUUACAGUAUGGCUUAAUUACAAAAUAAAAGUUAUGUAGCAUAGUACUUAGUGUAAAAAUGUUUUGAUGUGGCAAAAAUUUUUAUCUUUACAUGAAAAUAUUUUC